AUCCGAGAGGAGGGAGAGGAAGAGGAGGUGGGGGAGGAGGAGGAGGAGGAGGCCUGCGAGGCAUCGGAGGCGACGGCGGGGCCACCAUGUUCGACGCAGUUUCAACGUCGUGUUGCAAUGUUGUCGCUGUGCAUCAUAUCGGUGAGUGAUAUAAUGCUAGUUCUUAUCUUAUUAAACAUCAGUACAUUUUUUAAUUUUGUUUAUUAAGGUAAUUGAUACAAGAAAAUAAUGUCGGAUGUGUAUUUCAGGGAAUGGACAAAGUGUGAACAUCUAGGAAAUUCUUUUUUUUUUAUGAAAGAUUAAUUUACCAGUUGUCUUUCAUGCAGAUUCUAUCCUUGCUGGAAUAAGUUAUACAACUUAAGUCACUAAUGAAUGUUGUACUAUUAUUUUAGCAGAACAUUUUCUUCUUUCUAUUGAGUAUGUAAGUAAUGUUGGAGAAAGAUUUCUCAUAUUAUUUUUCAAAAUUGUUCUCUGUUUUUUAAAGCUUCAAGAUUUUUUUGAUUAACGCACUUGGCUGACUUAAAUAUCAUUGAGUUAUUGUAGUUUUGAAAGGCAGAGUAAAAAAAGUCAAUUUUCUCUUUCUUUUUAAGUUAUUCUAUUAGAAAAAUGGUAUAACAUUGCAUUAAUGACUAUUUAAGAAACUUGUUCGAAAAAUUAAAAUGCUUCAAUCUGUUUGAAAAUUUUAUAAAAUAGUAUUUAAAGAGAAACCAAUGUAUAACUUAUAUAUUAAAUUUCAAACCGACUGAUCAUAUAGUUUUCAAGAAAAUAAAAGUUUAGAAUUUUAUGUAUGAUAUUUUAUGACAGAUGCAUAUAAACUGAUAUGUUACGUUAGUUUUUAAAAUGUUUUAAUAUGUAUAAAAAUUAUAUACAUUUAGUUAGAGCAAAUUUUUUUGUAUAACCUUACAAAAAUUCAAUUCCAUUUACCAUGUAGUUUUCUGUACACAGGUAAAAAAUUGAUAUAAGUAUAUUUAUUAAAAGUUAUUUUCAAUAAAUUCAAGUAAUUUAACUAGAAAUUUGGCAAACAUUGUUGAAAGAAUUAUUUAAAAAAAUGGUUAUAAAUUAAGUUAACUAAGCUAUCAUAAAGUUUCAAGUGUAAGCAAGUAUAGAAACGUGACAGAUUAACCAUUAGUAUAAUUGUACGCUUAACAAAAUUAACAAAAUUAAGAAUAUGCACAGUCUUAUUUUAUCUUAUUAAUCUUAUUAAUGAUUAUCAAUAAUUUUAUUAAUUAAAUUUUAACAAUUGUUUGUAAAUUGUUUGUAAAUUGUUAUUUUCAUAAUAAUAUGUCAUUUUUUGUUAAGAUCUGUAUCAAUCUUAUCUUCUUAAACUUAAAAUCUUCUUAUUUCAAACAAAAAUAAAUCUUAAAGAUAGAUGAUAAAUCUUAAAGAUAGAUGUCUUAUUAAUAAAAUAAAUAGUACAUUUCCUAGGUGUUCACAUGUUUUCUAUAUGUAUAUCAGUCAAGAUUGGAAAAGUUAUUUUGUAACUAGUUACAGUUACAGUUUUCCUACUUCAGGAAAUAAUUGAUUAUUGUUACAAGUUACUGAUUCUGAAAAGUAACGGAUUACAUUUAUAGAUACUUAAAAAGUAACGAGUCAUUUACUUUUCUUUAUACAUCGCAAUUUAGAAGAACUUUAUAUUUCUAACAUUACAGAACAAAGUAAAGUUACAGUUAUCGAAAAA